GUCAGUUAAGUUUAUUCAAAAUACAUGUUGGGUUUGAUUGUAAAAUAAAUAAGACUCCUUCUCUGAUGCUAAGGAACUUAGCAUCUGUACACCGAUACGUUUUGGUUUCAGCCAAGUCGUUGUUAACAGCACGCCGAUGUUCGGCUGCAGCGGGGAGCGCGGCCACGCGGUGGGGCAGAGCCGCCCCUCACGCGGCCGCAGGGGCGGGGCGGGGCCCGCACAGGUGCUCCGAGUUCGGCCAACGGUUCUUCCACGGCACGAGACGGCGAUAAAGCUGUGGGGGCUGCCGGGCGUCGGCUGCAGGGCUGCGACCUUGUGAGGAGCAGUGCGUGGGUUGGUGAGCCGCCUGAUCGCCAGCUAGUUGCGCAUCUCCAGAGCCUCAAACUGUUAACCAAAGAGUCAGUUCUGGGUCAGCGAGGAUUUGAGUGGUUAAAACUGCACAGUUCAUGGGGAGAGGUAAAUUGCUGGAAUGGGGCCUUGAGAGGAUGGCCAUUCUGGAGAUGUUCAAAUCCAGACCCUUGGCAAACUGCUUUAGCUGAGCAUGCUUUCUCCUGAGAUUUGCAGUAGAGACUCCUGGAGAUCCCUUCCAACUUGCUGUGUUUCUGGGCAUCAUGAUCCAAACAGUUAAUUCAGCUUUUUCACAGCUUUGCCUCUGCAAAUUAAACUGGAAUUGAAAGGACUGGCAUAUCUCAAAAGGCCUUUGGAAUGAAAUAUUCAGAAAUGUUUAUCAGUCAAAAAGCUGAGGAAUUUCAGGUUGAUAGGCAGUCUUCUAGAUGUUUCUAAACUUUGCUGAACAUCAACUCCUAGACUUCUGCAGGCUGUCUAUGUAAUUCUGAAUUUACUUUCUAAAUUGGCACGUAACUUAUUGAAUACGUUUUAAAGAGCAUAGCAGAACUCUGAGCCAGGAUAUACAAAUUGAGGUGGAAUGUGCUUAUAACUGCAUAAGUAAAUGUGUAUGUGUAUGAUGAGUCCCAGAAGAAGUUGUAUACUGAAAACUGCAUUGUCUAACCUUCUUAUGUUUAAUUCAUCCUUUGAUAUGCUUGAUUAAUAUCAUUGCAGCCACUUUUUGUGUAGAUAAGUAUUAUUUUUUUGUAAAAUGCUAAAAAACAUCAGUAAAGGUAUGAUUUCUAAAAGAUUGUACAACUUUGUGUAUAUAUUUUCUAUUAUAGACACAAAAUACUUGGCUUUUCCUCCG
ensembl:lncRNA